UUAAAUUCUAUUGCAAUGGAGUUCCAGAUGGUUGAAGGCUGCCACUUGUAUGGUGGGAGCCAAACCUAGGUCCUCUGCAGGUGCAGCAGAUGCUUGCAAUCACUGAACUGUCUCUCCAGCCCUAUACUUUUGAAUUUAAGACACAAGAAGAGAUUAUCUAUUUAGGACAAACUUAAAUUAAAAAAAAAAGAAAGUGAAAACAAAUCCCAAAGCUCUUAAGUAGGAGGGGGAAGUUCCGCUAGGCCUAGUUUCUCUACAGAGUUCUGCUUCAUGCUCCAGGUCUUCCCAAAUGUGCAGUUACCACCCGGUAGUACGGGGCUCAUCCUGAUAUCUUUGCUGGCCAUAAGUCAGUUCCAGAAGGUGAGGACCAGCAGCUGGAGAAAUAACGAGCGUGGAGUUGCAGGAGAAGCCACCCCCCCACCCCCAAAUCCAUGUUCUUAUACUUUUGGAAAUGCCUUCUGUCUGCUCUCAUCAGCGACAACACUUCUGAGAUGGUUUGGAAAUAUUUAUGCAGCCAAUCCCGGUUACAAACAUCGGCAGUAGGGAAGAAGUCAAUGGAAAUCGGAGAGACAAUUAAACAAGACUCUGAGGAAAAAAAUAAGGCAUAGCAGAAAACACACAGCAAGCAUGCCAGAGAUGGUAGGAGUAGGCCAGAGUAUAGACAUGCAUCGGAGGCGAUAGCUCAAGGCCCUGGGCUGUAAAGGCAGAACUAGUUUCCUGUCAAGGAGAGAAUUUUGUUUUGCUGUGUUCAGCCUGGUGCUCAUCUGCAUGGCUGAAACUUGUACUUCUCUGGGUGUGACAUAGGCAGGACGGUGGGGCUAGCUCCCAGAAAAGGAAGUUUUGCUCUUCUUUCCCCUCAUGGGACUGUGUUAAUGUGCUGCCAGGUCACUAGCAGUUUGUAAUCAUGUUUGUGUCCACGGUGACAAG
rnacentral:lncRNA from 1 species